rnacentral:piRNA from 1 species
UAAGAGCUAGAAUGCCCCCUCUGGAGC